rnacentral:rRNA from 1 species
ACACGAGGAAACUUGUGCUAAUACCUCAUAAGUCUUUACAGAGAAAGCUUUAUGCGCCGAAGGAUGAGCCUGCACUUGAUUAGUUUGUUGGUGGGGUAAUGGCUCACCAAGACUUUGAUCAAUAGCUGAUCUGAGAGGAUGAUCAGCCACAUUGGGACUGAGACACGGCCCAAACUCCUACGGGAGGCAGCAGUAGGGAAUAUUGCACAAUGGAGGAAACUCUGAUGCAGCGAUGCCGCGUGAGUGAAGAAGGCCUUUGGGUUGUAAAGCUCUUUCGUCGGGGAAGAAAAUGACUGUACCCGAAUAAGAAGGUCCGGC